rnacentral:lncRNA from 1 species
UUUUACAAUUUUGGAGUAAGCUUUUUUUUUUUUUUUUUUUUAAGCAUAGCUUUAUGUGAAUCCUGGAAAACUUGAGGGAGGAUUUGAUUUACUUCUACCCUUUUAUUGUUAGUUUUUUCAGUUUGAAAUGCUCUCUCUCCAAAUAACAAAUAUUUUAAAAUCUAUCAUACUUCAUGGUAGAUCCAUGACUACACUUUUCUUCAUCUUCUACCUUAUGAUUUUCAGUAAACUGGCCCAGCAGAAGAACACUGCACUGAUAAAUGUAAAAAUUGCAUAUUAUUUCAUUUAAAAAGUAUAUUGGUUAUCUGAAAUUCUGAGUGAUAACAUAGGAAAAGGAGACAUAUAAGUAAUUAAAGUAUUAUAAAUACUCAUUUACUGUGCCAAAGUAGAAUAUUUACUUAAAACAGGAUCAUGCCCUGAGCCAAAGGCAGAUGCUCAACUGCUGAGCCACCAGGGAUCCCAGGAACACAAGAUUUAUUUAAAUAUGCAUUUAAAAAAAAUACAACUUGAUCCAAUUACUACUGGGCCUAAGGUCUUCCAAAUAGGGUGAGUUUUUUUUUUUUUAUUUGAGGUGUAGUUGAUACACAAUGUUAAAUUAAGAUUAACAUUAAUUAACAUAAACAUAACAUUAAUUUAAAUUAACUUAAUUUUAAUUUAAAUUAACAUAAACAUUAACAUUAAUUUUAGAUGUAUGACAUAACUUUAGUGAUUCAUCUUCUCUCUAAGUGUAUCAUUUGUCACUGUAGUAUAGCUACUGUAUGCCAUAGUACAGUGCAAUACGAUUGACUAUCCCUCUGACUGUCCCUGUGACAUACUCAUUCCAUAACUAUAAGCCUGUAUCCCUCACUCUCUUUCAUGCAUCUUGCCCAUCCCUCUAGCCCUUCCCCUCUGGAAACCAUCCAUUUAUUCUCUAUAUUUAUGGAUCUGUUUCUGCUUUUUGUUUGUUUAUUCAUUUUUUUUAUUUUUUAGGUUCCACAUGUAAUUGAAGUCAUAUGGCAUUUGUCUUUCUCUGUUUGACUUAUUAUUGUCACAAACACCAAAAUCUCACCUUUUUAAUGGUUGAGUAAUAAUCCAUUGUGUAUAUAUGCCACACCUUUAUCCAUUCACCUAUCUUCCAUAUCUUGCUAUUGUAAAUAAUGUUGCAGUAAACAUAGAGCGCAUAUAUCUUUCAAAGUAUAGUGCUUUUGUUUCUUUGGGUAAAUACAUAGUAGUGGAAUUACUGGAUCAUAUAGUAUUUCUAUUUUUACUCUUGUGAGGAACUUUCAUAUUAUUUUGCACAGUGGCUGCACUAGUGUUAAUUCUUAACAGGACAUGCUUCCUUUUUCUCCACAUCCUUACCAAUACUUGUUAUUUCUCGUCUUUUUGAACCUACCCAUUGUAUAGGUGGGUACCUUAUACAGGUAUAAGGUGAUGUCUCAUUGUAGUUUUGAUUUGCAUUUCUUUGAUGAUUAGUGAUAUUGACAUCUUUUUUCAUGUGCUUGCUGGCUAUCUGUAUGUCUUCUUUGGAGAAAUGUCUGUUCAUAUCUUCUGCCCAUUUUUUAAAUUGGAUUGUUUGUUUUUUUCAUGUUGAGUUGUAUAAGUUUUUUAAUAUAUAUUUUACAUAUUAACCCUUUAUUGGACAUAUCAUUUGGAAGUAUAUUCUAAUUGCUUCUCAGCCUUUUGGCUAAGAUCAAGUGUGGAAAUAUAUUCUAACAUUCAGUAGGUUGCCUUUUUUUUUGUUGAUUGUUUCCUUUGCUGUGAAGAAGCUUUUUAUUUUGGUCUAGUCCCAAUAGUCUAUGUUUGCUUUUGUUUCCCAUGCCUCAGGAGACAUAGCUAGAAAAACAUUGCUAAUUCCAAGGUCAAAGGAAUUACUGCCUCCAUUGUUUUAUAGGAAUUUUAUGAUUUCAGGUCUUACGUUUAGGUUUUAAUCCAUUUUGGAUUUAUUUUUGCAUAUGGUUUGAGAGACUAUCUUUCCCCCAUUGUAUAUUCUUCCCUUCUUUGUUGUAGGUUAAUUGGCCAUAUAAGCAUGAGUUUAUUUUUGGGCUCUCUAUUCUGUUCCAUUGACUCAUGCAUCACUUUUUGUCCAGUACCAUAGUGUUUUGAUUACUACAGCUUUGUAGUACGUCUUAAAAUCUGGGAUUGUGAUACCUCCAGUGUGCUUUUCUUUUUCAAGACCACUUUGGCUACUUGAAGCUUUUUAUAGUUCCAUACACAUUUAUUUAUUAUUUCUUCUAAUUCUGUGAAAAA